rnacentral:rRNA from 1 species
UACGGGGGGAGCAAGCGUUGUUCGGAUUUACUGGGCGUAAAGGGCGCGUAGGCGGCGCAACAAGUCACUUGUGAAAUCUCCGGGCUUAACCCGGAGCGGCCAAGUGAUACUGUCGUGCUAGAGUGCGGAAGGGGCUACUGGAAUUCUCGGUGUAGCGGUGAAAUGCGUAGAUAUCGAGAGGAACACCUGCGGCGAAGGCGGGUAGCUGGGCCGACACUGACGCUGAUGCGCGAAAGCCAGGGGAGCAAACGGG